GACGAACGCUGGCGGCGUGCCUAAUACAUGCAAGUCGAACGCUUCUUUCCUCCCGAGUGCUUGCACUCCAUUGGAAAGCGGAGUGGCGGACGGGUGAGUAACACGUGGGUAACCUACCCAUCAGAGGGGGAUAACACUUGGAAACAGGUGCUAAUACCGCAUAACAGUUUAUGCCGCAUGGCAUAAGAGUGAAAGGCGCUUUCGGGUGUCGCUGAUGGAUGGACCCGCGGUGCAUUAGCUAGUUGGUGAGGUAACGGCUCACCAAGGCCAAGAUGCAUAGCCGACCUGAGAGGGGGAUCGGCCACCCUGGGACUGAGACACGGCCCAGACUCCUACGGGAGGCAGCAGUAGGGAAUCUUCGGCAAUGGACGAAAGUCUGACCGAGCAACGCCGCGUGAGUGAAGAAGGUUUUCGGAUCGUAAAACUCUGUUGUUAGAGAAGAACAAGGACGUUAGUAACUGAACGUCCCCCGACGGUAUCUAACCAGAAAGCCACGGCUAACUACGUG
rnacentral:rRNA from 1 species